AAAUUGAAGAGUUUGAUCAUGGCUCAGAUUGAACGCUGGCGGCAGGCCUAACACAUGCAAGUCGAGCGGUAGCACAGAGAGCUUGCUCUCGGGUGACGAGCGGCGGACGGGUGAGUAAUGUCUGGGAAACUGCCUGAUGGAGGGGGAUAACUACUGGAAACGGUAGCUAAUACCGCAUAAUGUCGCAAGACCAAAGUGGGGGACCUUCGGGCCUCAUGCCAUCAGAUGUGCCCAGAUGGGAUUAGCUAGUAGGUGGGGUAACGGCUCACCUAGGCGACGAUCCCUAGCUGGUCUGAGAGGAUGACCAGCCACACUGGAACUGAGACACGGUCCAGACUCCUACGGGAGGCAGCAGUGGGGAAUAUUGCACAAUGGGCGCAAGCCUGAUGCAGCCAUGCCGCGUGUGUGAAGAAGGCCUUCGGGUUGUAAAGCACUUUCAGCGGGGAGGAAGGCGAUAAGGUUAAUAACCUUGUCGAUUGACGUUACCCGCAGAAGAAGCACCGGCUAACUCCGUGCCAGCAGCCGCGGUAAUACGGAGGGUGCAAGCGUUAAUCGGAAUUACUGGGCGUAAAGCGCACGCAGGCGGUCUGUCAAGUCGGAUGUGAAAUCCCCGGGCUCAACCUGGGAACUGCAUUCGAAACUGGCAGGCUAGAGUCUUGUAGAGGGGGUAGAAUUCCAGGUGUAGCGGUGAAAUGCGUAGAGAUCUGGAGGAAUACCGGUGGCGAAGGCGGCCCCCUGGACAAAGACUGACGCUCAGGUGCGAAAGCGUGGGGAGCAAACAGGAUUAGAUACCCUGGUAGUCCACGCCGUAAACGAUGUCGAUUUGGAGGUUGUGCCCUUGAGGCGUGGCUUCCGGAGCUAACGCGUUAAAUCGACCGCCUGGGGAGUACGGCCGCAAGGUUAAAACUCAAAUGAAUUGACGGGGGCCCGCACAAGCGGUGGAGCAUGUGGUUUAAUUCGAUGCAACGCGAAGAACCUUACCUGGUCUUGACAUCCACAGAACUUAGCAGAGAUGCUUUGGUGCCUUCGGGAACUGUGAGACAGGUGCUGCAUGGCUGUCGUCAGCUCGUGUUGUGAAAUGUUGGGUUAAGUCCCGCAACGAGCGCAACCCUUAUCCUUUGUUGCCAGCGGUUAGGCCGGGAACUCAAAGGAGACUGCCAGUGAUAAACUGGAGGAAGGUGGGGAUGACGUCAAGUCAUCAUGGCCCUUACGACCAGGGCUACACACGUGCUACAAUGGCAUAUACAAAGAGAAGCGACCUCGCGAGAGUAAGCGGACCUCAUAAAGUAUGUCGUAGUCCGGAUUGGAGUCUGCAACUCGACUCCAUGAAGUCGGAAUCGCUAGUAAUCGUAGAUCAGAAUGCUACGGUGAAUACGUUCCCGGGCCUUGUACACACCGCCCGUCACACCAUGGGAGUGGGUUGCAAAAGAAGUAGGUAGCUUAACCUUCGGGAGGGCGCUUACCACUUUGUGAUUCAUGACUGGGGUGAAGUCGUAACAAGGUAACCGUAGGGGAACCUGCGGUUGGAUCACCUCCUUA
rnacentral:rRNA from 1 species